ensembl:lncRNA
CUGAAACCACUUCUUCAUCCCCCGGGGGAGAUAAGAAAAACAAACCUCCUGGAAUUCAGCCAGUGCCUGUUUUUAAAAUUUUGUCCGACCUUAUUUAACAUGUUGUGAAUGUUUUUAGGAAACGUACUUACUGCUCAACAUAUUUUGAGCACUUUUCCCUGAUUUCAUUUACCCAAGGGAGUGUGUGUUUCCUGAUUUUUAAUGAAAGUGGAGUCAUCCAGCGGAAACGGUCUGAGGAUGUACUCAAACAGAUCUGAACACGGUUACAGGCGGCAGUACAGCGAGAGGAGUUCACGGCAACGGGAUGAAUAUGACGACAGAUGGGAGAAAAGGCGCGAACCUCCCAGAGACAUGCCACGGGAGUCGUAUCAUAAAUAUGGUGGGGAUGGACGCAGCAGUACAGAGAGAACAAGAAGUAGGGAGUACAGUGAGUCUCCGAAGAGGCUUUACAGCAAAGAUACACUGAACAGAGACUGGAGCAGGAAGAGCCCGGCGAGGAGACGCGCGUCUUCACCGGUGCGGGACCUCUCUGACAACAAAAAGCAGAGGUUUGCAGAUGACGACGAGCGGGAAUACAGGUACAGGCGUGAGGCUCAGGAGAAAACAUACAGGCCUUCACCGGACAGUUUUUCACGAUCGCAUCUAACCAGGAAUAUUGAAGAUGCGUCACCACAAAAUGAGGAUUUCAAGUACAGGAAAACACCUCAGGGCUCCAGGCACAGGCCUCGGCAUGAGGAGUUCCCAUACAGGCAGCUAAAUGAUGAGUUACCUUACAGACGACUGUCGGGGUCUUACAAAGAUGGAGAUGAAUAUGAGAGGGGCCGGGAUCCAUCACAAGAGAGGGCACGAUCACAGGAGAGGAGUUAUGUCAAUCCCAGAGAGAGGAUGGACAGUCCUCUCACUUCUGUAUAUGAUGAGGAUUAUCGCCAAGCUGGAGCAAGAUAUCCAUUGAAUGGCUCGAGCCGACAGUCUUUUGAGAGUGAUGCACCCAGUCGAAGUGCAGCUGUUUCUGAGCAGAAGUCAACCAAAGGCUUCCAGCGUUUCCUCGACGUGCUAAACAAGGGCGUGAAUGUCGACGUUCUCACUAAGAUUGUGACUCAGACCUCAGAUGACGACGAUCAACCCGUUUCUCAAACCUUAUUACCGAGCCCUGCUGAUCAUCUGUGGUCUCCCACUCACAAUGCUGGGAGGAAUCAAGGAAGCCACCAGGAUAACAGCUACUGGAGUGAGAGCGAAAGGUCCCGCAGACCAGUUUCCCCACAGACUCAUCGACGGUCCCUCAGCCCAAAACAGUGCCCACUCUCAGAUGAAAAGCCCCUUCAGGGGAAUGAUGGCAGGGAAGCCUACUUCCGCAGCAGAUCCAGGUCCCCCUUGGUGGUGGAAAGGGUGCCUCUGCCACCUGAGGAUGAACACAAGCAUAGGCAAAUGCAGGAUGUGCUGCAGGCCAUUGGCAUGGAUUUGGGAUUUGAAGAGCUUGGCCAAAUGUCUCAUAGAAUCCAGGAGCGGCUGUAUGGGAAGAAGGAUGGUGAUUUGGCUCGUAAAGUUGGGAGGGAGAAGGGUACGAGGCGACCGUAUUCCCCAAGACGUCAAAGUAGAGCAUCAUCAUCAUCAAGCAGAUCUAGUUUUAGCCCCUUAAAUCAGAAUUAUUACAGUAAAAAAGACUCGUACAGUGCAGAGAGGGAUGUAACGGAUGUGCAUCAAGUAUACAAAUCUGCUGAGUAUGACCAAAAGACGAGCAGCAGCUCAGUACAGGACAGUAAGAACUGCGAAAGGAAAUCUCAGGAGAGUGCUGCUGCAUUACAACCAUUUUCUCCUAAUUCCUCGUACCCUGCGUCCAAACCUCCAUCUGCUCCGGUGGUGCCGACAUACCCUCCGGUCAACUGCUCACCAAUGCCAUACCCACCUGUCUCGCCAGCUGUGCCUCCACCAAUGCCCCAUGUUGGGCCGGGGGUUAAUAUGCCACCCUUCGUCCCGUACCCCGGCAUCCCGCCUAUGAACAUGUAUCCAACCAUGCUCCCGCAAGCGAGCCACAUGUUCCUGCAUCACGUUAAUCAUCCACAGCCGCCGUAUUUCAGCCAAUCAAAUGUAAGUGCAGUUCAGCCAGUGAACACAAUGCAAAAAUCCAAACCACUGACAAGGCCCCGCUGUUUGCAGGUUAUUCAAACCAAAAAAAAGCCUGGAUGAACGAGGCUGCGCAGGGUGGAAGUGAGACUUUGAAACUGACUGAUGGAAACAGCUGGGCCUUCAGGGAGUCUCUUUUUAACCACAAAACACGCGUUUGAAGCAUCAGAGAACAUCACAGUGAACAUUUGCAGGCAACCAGACCAGCAGCAACUAAGAGAACAACACAAUGACAUUAUCAGCUACUGUAUCGUGAGUUUGAUGACAAACUGUAAGUGGUGCUGCAGCUCUUCUUGAUUCUUGGUCUGCUCCCAUACCCAUCACACAUUCACUAGUCUGCCACAACAUUAAAAUCACCGACAGUGGAAGUGGAAACAGCUCGGGUCCUUGAAUUCAUGCGGAUGGUAUUUUGACACCGUUACAGCUUUGAUGCAGACCAGGCAUUGGGCUGAUGGGCAGCAGCCUCCUCUUGUGUGGCAGUGCAACCCAUUAUACUACAACAAGUAUUAAGCCAGCCUACGAAGCUGGACCACCGUAAUUCUCAGAGGUUCACAGGACACAAAGGAUCCACUGCAGCGUCCGCUCGGAGGUCCUGCAUGCAUGCCUGGACUCCUCAGGCAGUAUGAAGCAGGUUGUUUUAAUGUUGUGGUUGGUUGGUGUAGCUUAUAAUAGUCAGGUCAUUCUAGGAAAAAAAUAAAACAAAUACUGAAACUACAAAAAUUUGUUAUUUUGUUAAAGUUUUACUAAAAUUUGAUGCAUUUUAUUUUUGUGGACAUCAUAUUUGUCUUCAUAUAGGAGCCUUUAUGUUCAUUAAUUAGCUCAAAGGCCAACCUACAACUAUAAGACAUGCUCUACACUUCUGUCUCUUUACAUAUUUUUCUUAUUCUGUAAACAUGCAGAAAUUUGCUGUAUAAAUAUUGAACUGGAUAAUAUUAAACACAAAGC